AUUCUACCCUGUCAGUAUAUAAGGUUGGUUAAUUAGAUCACACAGCAAGAUACAGUUCUGUUCUGAAACGAUUAAGAAGUGGAAAUUAAAGGCAAUGGGUCUUAGAGCGGUUUAUUUUUAUUUCCUCUGUGCAUUUGUGUUAGUGGAUUUUAUAUUCGCUGAUAAGUCAAAUGAAACCCAAGAAAAUUUAUCAUUUCCAUCAUUCCCCCCCAACCCUUUUGGUUUUGACUUCAGCCAAUUAAGUCAAUACAUUCCAUUCCUCAACGGUCAAGGGUCACGGCACGCACGAGAUGUGAGCGCACAAGAAGACAGCGACGAGUCGAACGAAAACCAUGACAGAUUUUUUACCUCGAGAUUAAUUAGCUGUAAUUACACUGCACAGCCCGGGGCAUCAUGUUCAACCUGCAGACAAGCUUUACUCUGUCUACCAAGCAACGUUGGACUCAUUAGACCUUGCUUAUUCUACUGCAACAAUGGACACUGCUCUUUCAUACCUGGAUCAGCCUGUACCAAUUCUACGAACUAAUAUAUCUCAUGUUAUAGUCGAUCGAAUUAUUGUAUAUGUUAUAAAAUUGUUGUAAAAAUAGGUGUUGUAGAUAUUAAAGUUUUUUGUUUGAAUGUA